rnacentral:snoRNA from 1 species
UGGUCAUUAGCAAGGCUUUUAGAAUACCGUUUCUCACUUGCUGUGGACAUGACCAUAAAAAGCUUCCCACCAGGUUUUCUACCUGCUACUUUGCUAGCAAUCAGCCUAUUGGGAACAUUU